rnacentral:tRNA from 1 species
GGUUCAGUAGCCCAACCGGCAGAGGCAAUGGUUCGAGAAGCCAUCUAGUGAGAGUUCAAAUCUCUUCUGAACCA